rnacentral:rRNA from 1 species
GACGAACGCUGGCGGCGUGCUUAACACAUGCAAGUCGAACGGAAAGGCCCCUUUGGGGGUACUCGAGUGGCGAACGGGUGAGUAACACGUGAGUAACCUGCCCUUGACUUCGGGAUAACUUCAGGAAACUGGGGCUAAUACCGGAUAGGAAUCCUUGCUGCAUGGUGGGGGUUGGAAAGCUUCGGCGGUUUUGGAUGGACUCGCGGCUUAUCAGCUUGUUGGUGGGGUAGUGGCUUACCAAGGCUUUGACGGGUAGCCGGCCUGAGAGGGCGACCGGCCACAUUGGGACUGAGAUACGGCCCAGACUCCGACGGGAGGCAGCAGUGGGGAAGAUUGCACAAUGGGCGGAAGCCUGAUGCAGCAACGCCGCGUGCGGGAUGACGGCCUUCGGGUUGUAAACCGAUUUCAGCAGGGGCGAAGCUUGUGGUGACGGUACCUGCAGAAGAAGCACCGGCUAACUACGUG